rnacentral:lncRNA from 1 species
GGGGUCGACCCUCUCAGAAACCACAGAACCUUGUAUUUCAGCCUUCCUUCACUUGGGUCGACUCAACACUUUUUGGGUCGACUCAAGGUUCAGUUGGGUCGACUCAACUUCUACUUGGGUCGACCCUCUCAGGGUUUCCAGAGAAUCUAUUUUUGAAUGUCAUUGCCUUUGGGUCGACUCAUGUUAACUUGGGGUCGACUCAAGUUUGGGUCGACUCAAGUUUCAUUUGGGUCGACCCUCUCAAGGUUUCCAGAGAACUGUUUUCUUGAGGCUUGAGGAUUGGGUCGACUCAUCCUUUACUUGGGUCGACCCAAGUACUGUUCAUCCGUGCCAUUUGCAGAAGUGUGCCAGAUGGUUUCUUGUUGUGCCGGGGUCGACUCAAUCAAUCUUGGGGUCGACUCAAUCCACACUUUGCUGCAACUUAAGGUUAGAUUCAUCCAUAUAAUCAAUGAAAUAAACUUUAAGCAAUUUUGAAUAUAUGUCAUGGUAGUGCUACAUACUCCAAACAAUGAAAAUUACUAUUGUCCACUUAAGAGUAUGUCUCACUUGAAGCUUUGCCGAAUUAGAAUUUAGAAUUCACUGUCCCUUUCCUAUCGCAAAUUUUAUCUCAUUAAUAAUCAAUGAAAUGCAUCUUUAUCUCAUUAUACUAAUGUAUCGAGAGUGACGGACUUAUUAAUGAUGUAUCAAAUUAACUUGUAACAUACUCUUAAUCAUUGUAUUAAUCAUC